GAAGAUGAAUGCAUGAUAACCAGAAUGAUAAAUGCAAUCGGUAAAGAUGACCAAAAAGGGGCCAGGGAGAAGAAAAACCAUACCUUUGGAUGAUCGCAAGAGUUUGGGAAGCAGAAAAUUUGAAGAAAGAUGGGUGCGCAGAGGAGAAGUUCGCAGAGAGUCUGGGAGUCGAAUGAAGAAGAUGGAGGAACAGUGAAAGGGCGCGCCAAUUUGAAUAAGAGAAGCGCUAGCGACGCACAGCGCUGGCCGUUGAUGGGGCCACGUGUCGCGAGAUUAAGAGAAGAAGUCCAAACGUUAAAGACGCAGCACGUGAGGUGGCACGUGAGGCGGCCCCACUUGCCACGUGGACUGAGGGCACGACCACUUAGUCUCUUCGCUGAGAACGAGUUCUCGACUCGAGACUGGGGGGCUUGUGAUCCGAUCGGUCAUCGGUAGUCGAUGACGUCAGCAACAGAGAACCACGUGGACCACUCGCAGGGUGACACGUGGACCAGGUGGCAGAGAGGUCAGGGGGACGAUCGCCA
rnacentral:lncRNA from 1 species